rnacentral:rRNA from 1 species
GACGAACGCUGGCGGCGUGCCUAAUACAUGCAAGUCGAACGCAGUGGGGACGGGUGAGUAACACGUGGGUAACCUCCCAUCAGAGGGGAUAACACUUGGAAACAGGUGCUAAACCGAUACUGAUGGAUGAACCCGCGGUGCAUUAGCUAGUUGGUGAGGUAACGGCUCACCAAGGCCAAGAUGCAUAGGCGGCCUGUAAGGGUGAUCAGCGACCAUAGUACUGAGACAAGGCCCAGACGGCUGCGGGAGGCAGCAGUAGAGAAUCUGCGGCAAUGGACUAAAGUCUGACCUGGCAGCGCCGCGUGAGUGAGGAGGGUUUUCGAAUCGUAAAACACUGUUGUUAGAGAAGCGGUAUCUAACCAGAAAGCCACGGCUAACUACGUGCCAGCCUCCGCGGUAAUAC